UACGUAGGGGGCAAGCGUUGUCCGGAUUUAUUGGGCGUAAAGAGCGUGUAGGCGGCCAGGUAGGUCGGUUGUGAAAACUGGAGGCUCAACCUUCAGACGUCGACCGAAACCAUCUGGCUAGAGUCCGGAAGAGGAGAGUGGAAUUCCUGGUGUAGCGGUGGAAUGCGCAGAUAUCAGGAAGAACACCCGUGGCGAAGGCGGCAUCCUGGACCGGUAUUGACGCUGAGGAGCGAAAGCCAGGGGAGCAAACGGG
rnacentral:rRNA from 1 species